UCACGUCCACGCGGGAGCCCAGGCACGGGCUGAGAGGGGGCUGACGCCGCCCCGACCGCCGAACCUGAUCCGGGUCAUGCCGGCGAAGGGAGUCGGAGUGUCGCCGUC
rnacentral:ncRNA from 1 species